rnacentral:rRNA from 1 species
CCUACGGGGGGCUGCAGUGGGGAAUAUUGCGCAAUGGGCGAAAGCCUGACGCAGCGAAGCCGCGUGAGGGAUGAAGGUCUUCGGAUCGUAAACCUCUGUCAGCAGGGAAGAACGGUCACUGUGCUAAUCAGCAGUGAAUUGACGGUACCUGCAAAGGAAGCACCGGCUAACUCCGUGCCAGCGCCGGCGGAAAUACGGAGGGUGCGAGCGUUAAUCGUAAUUGCUGGGCUAAAUGCGCUCGUAGGCGGUAUGUCAAGUCAAGGGUGAAAUCCCCGCGCACAACGUGGGAACUGCCUUUGAAACUGGCAAACUGGAGUGUGUGAGAGGAUAGUGGAAUGCCAGGUGUAGGAGUGAAAUCCGUAGAUAUCUGGAGGAACAUCAGUGGCGAAGGCGACUAUCUGGCACAUAACUGACGCUGAGGAGCGAAAGCGUGGGUAGCAAACAGGAUUAGAUACCCGGGUAGUC